ACUCCUACGGGAGGCAGCAGUGGGGAAUAUUGGACAAUGGGGGCAACCCUGAUCCAGCGACGCCGCGUGUGUGAAGAAGGCCUGCGGGUUGUAAAGCACUUUUAGUGGGGAGGAAAACACUCGACCUAACACGUCGGGAAUUGACUUAACCCAAAGAAAAAGCACCGGCUAACUCUGUGCCAGCAGCCGCGGUAAUAC
rnacentral:rRNA from 1 species